GGCGGAAACCAGCGCCAUCUUUAAGGCGCAGCACGUUGCAGCUCUCUACAGAUGGGGCUAGACAAGCCUGAAGAGCGAUGUCCCUGGGUAGGAAGAGAACCAAGAGACAGGUUGAGUAGUUUCUCGUCUUGGAAACCUUUAUCUUAGGUAGUCGCUCUUUCACCUCACUUGGCAGUGUGAGAGCAAGCCCUGGAUUAUUCUGCUAGCCUGUGGACACUUCUCUGUAAGGAUCCUAGGACACUGGAACAAAAUGGGCCACACCUCAUCGAGUUCACUGGAUCCAACUUGAGUGGUUUGAACUGACACUCCGGCCAGAGCUUCGGGUACUGACUUCAGUCAAUACAAGGACUUCAAUCAAGAUAAGGACUUCAACCUAGGCCCUCAAUCAAGCAUCUCCUACAAAACACAGACUGGACUCAAGACUUUUACUACUCUAACAUUUUCUUCCUACAGGACCCCACGAGGCUAAUGUCAUCCCAUUUCAGCAGGAAGUAAAUUGGAGAAUACUACACCCCCUUUCCCCGUUGUAGACACCGAGUUAGG